AUAUUUGGAAAAACUAUGAUAGAGUGAUAUAUUUGGAAACGCUAUGAUAACGUAUAGUUUUAUAUGUAACACUUGUGUUUAAUAGCAAAACAUGAUUAAAAACGCUAUGUUUGGUUUUUGAAUCCUUAAACCCUAAAACACGUUUUUAAACCCUAAACUCUAAAUACAAACUUUAAACUCUAUUUUAAUAUCAAAUCAUGAAUUUAACUUCAAAUGUUAGAUAUAAACUCAAAAUUUAAUUUUUUUUUUUCCAAAAAUUUAUCUCAAAUUUUAAAAUCAAUAUCCCAAACCUUUAACUUUUAAACCCUAUACUCAUACAUUUAUUCUAAACUCCAAAUUUUAAAUAUAAACUCUACAAGUAAUUAAAAAAAUCUUAACACUAAACCCUAAAUCAUAAACAUAAAACUUAACUUUCAAACAGUAAAAAAUUUAAAUCACAAAUUCUAAAUCAUAAACAUAUAAACUCUAAAGCAUAUAACAAGUUUUUAAACCUUCUAAAUAUGAAUUUUAAACCUAUAAUAUACUCAUACUGUAACUUCAAAUAUAAAACUUAAACUCAAAAUUUAUUCUUUUUAAUUUUAAUAUACAACUUCCAAACACACAAACUUUAAUUCCUCAGUCAAACUCUAUACCCUAAACCCUAACGCCAAGCAUAUAUGGAUACAUUUACUAAAUAUAAACUUCAAAUCUAAAUUUUAAUUAUUUAACAAAUUUCAAAUCUAAAUCUUAAUCACAAAAUAUUUAUAUAAAAACUUAAAACUUAUACUCUCAAAAC
rnacentral:lncRNA from 1 species